rnacentral:rRNA from 1 species
GUGCCAGCCGCCGCGGUAAUACGCAGGGCGCAAGCGUUGUCCGGAAUUAUUGGGCGUAAAGAGCUCGUAGGCGGUUUGUCGCGUCUGCUGUGAAAGCCCGGGGCUCAACCCCGGGUCCGCAGUGGGUACGGGCAGACUAGAGUGCAGUAGGGGAGACUGGAAUUCCUGGUGUAGCGGUGAAAUGCGCAGAUAUCAGGAGGAACACCGAUGGCGAAGGCAGGUCUCUGGGCUGUAACUGACGCUGAGGAGCGAAAGCAUGGGGAGCGAACAGGAUUAGAUACCCCGGUAGUCC